rnacentral:tRNA from 1 species
UAGUUCCAUUCUUUGACUUACAAGAUCAAGGCUUUGUGGGUUUAAGCUACUAGGGCUGCUCUAGGGGGUUU